GCACUGCUGACGAGUCCCAUACUGGGACGAAACAGCCGUUCAGUGC
rnacentral:hammerhead_ribozyme from 1 species